rnacentral:rRNA from 1 species
GACGAACGCUGGCGGCGCGCUUAACACAUGCAAGUCGAGCGAGAACCGGAGCUUCGGCUCCGGGGACAGCGGCGAACGGGUGAGUAACCCGUGGAUAACCUGCCCUCGGCACCGGGAUAGCCCGGGGAAACCCGGAUUAAUACCGGAUGGCCCUUCCGGCUUUCGAGCCGGUCGGGAAAGGUAGCUUCGGCCUCCGGCCGAGGCUGGGUCCGCGGCGGAUUAGCUUGUUGGCGGGGUAACGGCCCACCAAGGCCCCGAUCCGUAGCUGGUCUGAGAGGACGAUCAGCCACACUGGGACUGAGACACGGCCCAGACUCCUACGGGAGGCAGCAGUGGGGAAUCUUGCGCAAUGGGCGAAAGCCUGACGCAGCGACGCCGCGUGAGGGAGGAAGGCCUUCGGGUUGUAAACCUCUUUCAGGAGGGACGAAGCUACUCGGGUGAAUAGCCCAGAGGGUGACGGUACCUCCAGAAGAAGCCCCGGCUAACUACGUGCCAGCAGCCGCCGUAAUAC